rnacentral:rRNA from 1 species
CAGUCGCCGCGGGAAUACGGAGGGGGCUAGCGUUGUUCGGAAUUACUGGGCGUAAAGCGCGCGUAGGCGGUUACUCAAGUCAGAGGUGAAAGCCCGGGGCUCAACCCCGGAACUGCCUUUGAAACUAGGUGACUAGAAUCUUGGAGAGGUCAGUGGAAUUCCGAGUGUAGAGGUGAAAUUCGUAGAUAUUCGGAAGAACACCAGUGGCGAAGGCGACUGACUGGACAAGUAUUGACGCUGAGGUGCGAAAGCGUGGGGAGCAAACAGGAUUAGAGACCCCAGUAGUCCCUGUCUCUUAUAC